rnacentral:rRNA from 1 species
UGGGGGAAUCUUGGACAAUGGGGCGCAAGCCUGAUCCAGCCAUGCCGCGUGAGUGAUGAAGGCCCUAGGGUCGUAAAAGCUCUUUCGCCAGGGAUGAUAAUGACAGUACCUGGUAAAGAAACCCCGGCUAACUCCGUGCCAGCAGCCGCGGUAAUACGGAGGGGGUUAGCGUUGUUCGGAAUUACUGGGCGUAAAGCGCACGUAGGCGGACCAGAAAGUUGGGGGGUGAAAUCCCGGGGGCUCAACCCCCGGAACUGCCUCCAAAACUAUUGGUCUAGAGUUCGAGAGAGGUGAGUGGAAUUCCAAGUGUAGAGGUGAAAAUUCGUAGAUAUUUGGAGGAACACCAGUGGCGAAGGCGGCUCACUGGCUCGAUACUGACGCUGAGGUGCGAAAAGUGUGGGGAGCAAAACAGGAUUAGAUACCCUGGUAGUCCACACCGUAAAACGAUGAAUGCCAGUCGUCGGGUAGCAUGCUAUUCGGUGACACACCUAACGGAUUAAGCAUUCCGCCUGGGGAGUACGGUCGCAAGAUUAAAA